rnacentral:rRNA from 1 species
GACGAACGCUGGCGGCGUGCUUAACACAUGCAAGUCGAACGGAAAGGCCCUGCUUUUGUGGGGUGCUCGAGUGGCGAACGGGUGAGUAACACGUGAGUAACCUGCCCUUGACUUUGGGAUAACUUCAGGAAACUGGGGCUAAUACCGGAUAGGAGCUCCUGCUGCAUGGUGGGGGUUGGAAAGUUUCGGCGGUUGGGGAUGGACUCGCGGCUUAUCAGCUUGUUGGUGGGGUAGUGGCUUACCAAGGCUUUGACGGGUAGCCGGCCUGAGAGGGUGACCGGCCACAUUGGGACUGAGAUACGGCCCAGACUCCUACGGGAGGCAGCAGUGGGGAAUAUUGCACAAGGGGCGGAAGCAUGAUGCAGCAACGCCGCGUGCGGGAUGACGGCCUUCGGGUUGUAAACCGCUUUCGCCUGUGACGAAGCGUGAGUGACGGUAAUGGGUAAAGAAGCACCGGCUAACUACGU